GGAGAGGUGUCUGAGCGGCUUAAGGUACACGCUUGGAAAGCGUGUGUGCUGGAAACGGCACCGGGGGUUCGAAUCCCCCCCUCUCCGCCA
rnacentral:tRNA from 1 species